GACGUAGGGCGCGAGCGUUGUCCGGAUUUAUUGGGCGUAAAGAGCUCGUAGGCGGCUUGUUGCGUCGACCAUGAAAACCCGGGGCUCAACUUCGGGCUUGCGGUCGAUACGGGCGGGCUAGAGUUCGGUAGGGGAGACUGGAAUUCCUGGUGUAGCGGUGAAAUGCGCAGAUAUCAGGAGGAACACCGGUGGCGAAGGCGGGUCUCUGGGCCGAUACUGACGCUGAGGAGCGAAAGCGUGGGGAGCGAACAGG
rnacentral:rRNA from 1 species